AACAAGAAUGUGUCCAUAGUACACGGAUGCCCCACUCGCACUAUCAUUUUCCAUGUUCAGUGGACCAUGAAAUUGGGGUCAAAACUUUAAUUUGAAAUUAAAAUUAGAAAGAUCAUAUCAUAGGGAACAUGGGUACUAAGUUUCAAGUGGAUGUGACUUCAACUUCAUCAAAAACUACCUUGACCAAAAACUUUAACCUGAAC
rnacentral:lncRNA from 1 species